UCUUACGGCCAUACCAGCCUGAAUACGCCCGAUCUCGUCCGAUCUCGGAAGCUAAGCAGGGUCGGGCCUGGUUAGUACUUGGAUGGGAGACCGCCUGGGAAUACCAGGUGCUGUAAGCU
rnacentral:rRNA from 1 species